rnacentral:rRNA from 1 species
GUGGGGAAUAUUGGACAAUGGGCGCAAGCCUGAUCCAGCCAUGCCGCGUGAGUGAUGAAGGCCUUAGGGUUGUAAAGCUCUUUCAGUGGGGACGAUAAUGACGGUACCCACAGAAGAAGCCCCGGCUAACUUCGUGCCAGCAGCCGCGGUAAUACGAAGGGGGCUAGCGUUGUUCGGAUUUACUGGGCGUAAAGCGCACGUAGGCGGAUCGUUAAGUCGGGGGUGAAAUCCUGGAGCUCAACUCCAGAACUGCCUUCGAUACUGGCGAGCUUGAGUCGGGAAGAGGUGAGUGGAACUCCUAGUGUAGAGGUGGAAUUCGUAGAUAUUAGGAAGAACACCAGUGGCGAAGGCGGCUCACUGGUCCGGUACUGACGCUGAGGUGCGAAAGCGUGGGGAGCAAACAGGAUUAGAAACCCCAGUAGUCC